AGCGAACGCUGGCGGCAGGCCUAACACAUGCAAGUCGAACGAAGCCUUCGGGCUUAGUGGCGGACGGGUGAGUAACACGUGGGAACGUACCUUUUGGUUCGGAACAACUCAGGGAAACUUGAGCUAAUACCGGAUGAGCCCUUAGGGGGAAAGAUUUAUCGCCGAAAGAGCGGCCCGCGUUAGAUUAGCUAGUUGGUGAGGUAAAGGCUCACCAAGGCAACGAUCUAUAGCUGGUCUGAGAGGAUGAUCAGCCACACUGGGACUGAGACACGGCCCAGACUCCUACGGGAGGCAGCAGUGGGGAAUCUUGAGCAAUGGGCGAAAGCCUGACGCAGCCAUGCCGCGUGAAUGAUGAAGGUCUGAGGAUUGUAAAAUUCUUUUACCAGGGACGAUAAUGACGGUACCUGGAGAAAAAGCCCCGGCUAACUUCGUGCCAGCCGCCGCAGUAAUAC
rnacentral:rRNA from 1 species